AUGGAUGCUUUCCUUUAUGUGAGAUUAUAUACAUUAUCUUACUUGAUCUGCAAUGUUUCUUUGGAAAUUUUUUAUGAAAGACACAUGACACAUAGUUUGCUGGAUAGGUCUAAGAUAAAUAUUUCAGUUAUAGGAGGAUAUUUUUUAAUGGGUAAUACUAUUACCGAUAUCUGCUUGGUCUGUUGUGCUUUUGGUAGAGCUUUCAUAUUUCAACACAAAAACAACAAUGCAAGUUGGGACCAGAAUAGGACACACAUCCUCAAAGGAAACAUUAGUUGGGAGUGCUCAAGUAUUCAGUUUCUUGGAUGA
rnacentral:rRNA from 1 species